rnacentral:rRNA from 1 species
GACGAACGCUGGCGGCGUGCUUAACACAUGCAAGUCGAACGGAAAGGCCCCUUUGGGGGUACUCGAGUGGCGCACGAGUGAGUAACACGUGAGUAACCUGCCCUUGACUUCGGGAUAACUUCAGGAAACUGGGGCUAAUACCGGAUAGGAAUCCUUGCUGCAUGGUGGGGGUUGGAAAGCUUCGGCGGUUUUGGAUGGACUCGCGGCUUAUCAGCUUGUUGGUGGGGUAGUGGCUUACCAAGGCUUUGACGGGUAGCCGGCCUGAGAGGGCGACCGGCCACAUUGGGACUGAGAUACGGCCCAGACUCCUACGGGAGGCAGCGGUGGGGAAUAUUGCACAAUGGGCGGAAGCCUGAUGCAGCAACGCCGCGUGCGGGAUGACGGCCUUCGGGUUGUAAACCGCUUUCAGCAGGGGCGAAGCUUGUGGUGACGGUACCUGCAGAAGAAGCACCGGCUAACUACGUG